CGGGUCUAACGGCCGUCUCGCACCGAACUGCGCAUGUGCACGCCGUCAAAAUGUGCACGCCGUCCUUCGAUAAAUCGUUGUUUUGACGAAAAUGAAAACGGGUCAGUUUGUCACUCUCACGAGGUUGAGGACCUGAGCCCUAGGACCAUGACUCAGGACUACCUGGCAUGAUGACCCCUUGUCCUCAGUCCACCUGGCCGCGCUGCUGCUCCAGUUUCAACUGUCUGCAGCUAUGGAACCUUGACCUGUUCACCGGACGUGCUACCUGUCCCAGACCUGCUGUUUUCAACUCUCUAGAGACAGCAGGAGCGGUAGAGAUACCCUUAAUGAUCAGCUAUGAAAAGCCAACUGACAUUUACUCCUGAGAUGCUGACUUGCUGCACCAUAGACAACUACAGUGAUUAUUAUUUUUACCAUGCUGGUCAUUUAUGAACAUUUGAACAUCUUGGCCAUGUUCUGUUAUAAUCUCCACCCGGCACAGCCAGAAGAGGACUGGCCACCCCUCACAGCCUGGUUCCUCUCUAGGUUUCGGCCUUUCUAGGGAGUUUUUCCUAGCCACCGUGCUUCUACACCUGUAUUGCUUGCUGUUUGGGGUUUUAGGCUGGGUUUCUGUACAGCACUUUGAGAUAUCAACUGAUGUAAGAAGGGCUAUAUAAAUACAGUUGAUUUGAUUAACAUUGAACAGGUCGCGAGAACCAGUCAUCAGAGCGGGUCACGGGGAACCGGUCAUCAGAGCGGGUCACGGGGAACCGGUCAUCAGAACAGGACAGCUUACCGAACAGGUCAUCAGAAUCAUAAAAGCGUGUCAACAUUAGUACCUUUUCAGAGGUAUGUAGGCUCCCAGAACUGCUGUUACGACACCUACAUACAUCAUCACAACCAUCUUCUACACUACUACACUACCUGCUACUACAUUACAGCUACUGGAGGAAUGAAAAGACCUGAAGAAACACUACAGGCUGGGUUCCCACUGGGUACACUUCCUGUUGUCAGGCUGUGGUGUUGAGGUGUGUGUGUGUGCAGCAUGGAGCUGGUCUCACAGGUAGGUAGAUAUUUUCAGGGUGUGUGUGUCUGCCUCUUGUUUCAUGGUGUUCAUCCUGAAAGUCUGACCCACACCUCUUGUUUAAGAUCUUUACGUGGCAGAAUGUCACAGGCUGUGGUGGUGGAAACACUUCAAGGACAUCAAACGGAUACCAGUGGAUGUCAACACGAGCAGACCAGAAGAAGCUGUUUGAUGCAACGCAAUGUAAUAAACACUUAACCUGGACAUGCGUUUUCAUCUGUGUUAAAGAUGAUACACACUGUAGGUCUUCAUUGUAUCCAAGACUACACCACUGCCCAAGCAGCCUUGGACUUCCCCUCUAUUUCCUUCCAUGGCUGUGGGUUUCCUUCCCUGACUGGCUGUGGUGCAACAGUUGACACCUUCUUGAGAUGGAAAUACCACGUGUUGAAGAACUUAGCCGAGUUGCUUCUGUGUUGAGCUCAUGCAGCUGACGCCAUGAUAUCUCAGAUGCACAGGGAGGUUGGUGGCAACUUAACCUGAGAGGACGUGCUCGUGGUAAUGUAUGUCAUUUUAACAUGGACAGUCAACAUAUGCAUGUGGUUAUAAGAAUGAAGAUAAACCAUUAUUCAUUUGAUUAACUGUCUGAACUCUUAUGAUCAAAGUAUCAGGGUUGAGUGUGACGGGGUUUUGUUUUGGGGCACAAAAUGGCCACUGCUCCAGUGAAGAACUGGAGACCACAUGGCAUGCAAGAUAACACUUAAAAAAAAUAAUAAUACAUUUUGGUAAGUAAUAACGUAUUUAAUAUAACAGAGUAGAUUCUAAUCUAACAAAAAUCUAUGAAAUAUAGAUAAAAGAAUGUGAUAACUUUCCCGUCUUUACACCAUGUUGUUCAGUAGACUUGUAUGUCACAUAAGGAUAUAUACACUAUUUUUAUGUGGGGAGAUUCGUUGGCACAAUGGGGUUGAGGGUAGACUAAGGUUCGCAACUAAAUGGUGUGAUUUAAGUCAAUAAUCAUGCAUUUAUUUGGGGGAAAUAUAUUCUCAGCAAACGAGCACAAAUGGGUUUUUACAUCAAUGGCAGAAUUUAUGGCUUAUUUGCACAUUUUAUACAACGUACAAAUUCAGUGAAGGCCACCGAGGACAUGACAAACCGCUCGGUGUCAGUUGACGACAUUCUGAUAUUAAAGAGGAAAGUAAUGCAACUUUUCUUAAUACUUUAUUACAGGGGACUUAGAUUUGUGACCCCGUAUUUAAAAUAUACUUAAAGGUUAGAGGGACUCAAAUUGUACUGGAUUCAUGGAAUGAGGCGUCACUACAGACCCGGGUUUGAUUCCAGGCUUUAUCACAACUGGCCAUGAUUAUGAGUCCCAUAGGUUGGCACCUAAUUGGCCCGGCGUAGUUAGAGUUCGGCCAUCAUUGUAAAUAACAAUGUUCUUAAACUUUCCUAGUUGGGUAAAUAUUGUGCAAAGCUUACUCACCCAGAAAGACAGCUGUAAUCACAGCCAACUGCGAUGCUAACAUGUAUUGACUCAAGGGAUUAAAAUGCAGUAUUCAUACAAGCAAUUUAUUUCAGUUUCAAUAAAUGUGCAAAAAACA